GAAACUUUGAUCAGUCUUGA
rnacentral:snRNA from 1 species